rnacentral:rRNA from 1 species
GUUGAACGCUGGCGGCAUGCUUUACACAUGCAAGUCGAACGGCAGCGCGGGCUUCGGCCUGGCGGCGAGUGGCGAACGGGUGAGUAAUGCAUCGGAACGUGCCCAGUAGUGGGGGAUAGCCCGGCGAAAGCCGGAUUAAUACCGCAUACGACCUGAUGGUGAAAGCGGGGGACCGAAAGGCCUCGCGCUAUUGGAGCGGCCGAUGUCGGAUUAGCUAGUUGGUGGGGUAAAGGCUUACCAAGGCGACGAUCCGUAGCUGGUCUGAGAGGACGACCAGCCACACUGGGACUGAGACACGGCCCAGACUCCUACGGGAGGCAGCAGUGGGGAAUUUUGGACAAUGGGGGCAACCCUGAUCCAGCCAUGCCGCGUGCGGGAAGAAGGCCUUCGGGUUGUAAACCGCUUUUGUUCGGGAAGAAAUCCUCUGGGCUAAUACCCCGGGGGGAUGACGGUACCGGAAGAAUAAGCACCGGCUAACUACGUG